UGCAAAUCGAACGAAGUACUUCGUACUUAGUGGUGAACGGGUGAGUAACACGUAUCCAAUCUACCCUUAGGUUGGGGAUAACUGGUCGAAAGACUAGCUAAUACCGAAUACCAAUACUACUUAUCGCAUGAGAAAGUAUUGAAAGGUCCGUUUGGACCGCCUUUGGAUGGGGGUGCGGCAUAUCAGAUAGUUGGUGAGGUAAUGGCUCACCAAGUCAAUGACGUGUAGCUGUGCUGAGAGGUAGAACAGCCACGAUGGGACUGAGACACGGCCCAUACUCCUACGGGAGGCAGCAGUAGGGAAUUUUUCACAAUGGGCGAAAGCCUGAUGGAGCAAUGCCGCGUGAAUGAUGAAGGUCUUAAUGAUUGUAAAAUUCUUUUAUUUGGGAAGAAUGGCUUUAAGAGGAAAUGCUUAGAGUUUGACUGUACCAUUUGAAUAAGUAUCGGCUAACUAUGUGCCAGCAGCCGCGGUAAUACAUAGGAUGCAAGCGUUAUCCGGAUUUACUGGGCGUAAAACGAGCGCAGGCGGAUUAACAAGUUUGGUAUGAAAGGCUUUUGCUUAACGAAAGUUUGUAUCAAAAACUGUUAAUCUAGAGUGUAGUAGGGAGUUCUGGAAUUCCAUGUGGAGCGGUGGAAUGCGUAGAUAUAUGGAAGAACACCAGUGGCGAAGGCGAGAACUUAGGCUAUCACUGACGCUUAGGCUCGAAAGUGUGGGGAGCAAAUAGGAUUAGAUACCCUAGUAGUCCACACCGUAAACGAUGGUUAUUAAAUGUCGGCAUGAUUUGUGUCGGUGUUGAAGCU
rnacentral:rRNA from 1 species